rnacentral:tRNA from 1 species
GGCCUCGUAGUUCAACGGAUAGAACGGAAGUUUCCUAAACUUUAGAUACAGGUUCGAUUCCUGUCGAGGCUACAA